rnacentral:rRNA from 1 species
UACAGAGGGGGCAAGCGUUGUUCGGAAUUACUGGGCGUAAAGGGCGCGUAGGCGGCCCGCUAAGUCGAACGUGAAAUCCCUGGGCUCAACCCAGGAACUGCGUCCGAUACUGGCAGGCUUGAAUCCGGGAGAGGGAUGCGGAAUUCCAGGUGUAGCGGUGAAAUGCGUAGAUAUCAGGAGGAACACCGGUGGCGAAGGCGGCUUUCUGGACAGUAACUGACGCUGAGGCGCGAAAGCUAGGGGAGCAAACAGG